rnacentral:tRNA from 1 species
GCGGGCGUGGCGGAACCGGCAGACGCGCAGGACUUAGGAUCCUGUGGGGCGACCCGUGGGGGUUCAAAUCCCUUCGCCCGCACCA